CAUACACUGUCCCCAAUUUUUAAAGAGUUUUUUAAUUAAAUACAUUUUAUUUAUUUAUUUAAUUUGGAGUGUAGAGAAAAGCCUUACAACCUGUAUCCAUUAGCCUAUAUAAAACUGCCAUGUUAAAGUUAAAUAACAACAUUCCCUUUUACUAGAGACAACAAAAAUCCCAAAUAUAUAAUAUUUAAUAAUAUGUCAAAUUUAAAAUGGACAAUAUUGUGCUGAAUAUAGAACUUCAUGACAAUAACAAUAAUAACUAAGUACUAUAUAUAUAUUAAGAAACAUGGGAAGUAGAAACAUGGGUUGCAGAACAAGGUAAAAAAAAAGAGCAUGCAGAACAAGGUAAAAUAUAUGGUAUUGUUAAAUACAUUAAAGAAAUAGGAUUAAGCAGGAGAAUUUUUAUAUAUAUAAAUAUGUAUAUAUUCGUUGCUUAUUAGUGCUUCACACUCCAGUCCAGUUGGUGGCGGUAAAUGCACCAAAAGUUGGUUUGCCAUCCACCAUUAAACGUUAUUAGAAGAAGAGUAAUGUUCACGCUGCGCUGUUGUAACUGAUCAGCGCCGCGCUGUCAGUUCGGUGGCGCUGGUAAAUACGUCCUCUCUGCACUGUCGAGUCGGUCGCGCAGCUCGGUCCAUUGAGCCGCGCCGAUGACCGGUCAGCGCUGCGCGAACACUUUAAUACCGCGCUGUUUCGUCCCACAUUUGGGCUGUUUGGCUUCCCAUAGAUAACGGCAAAUCAGCGUCUUUUCCUUAGUGUCUACUGCAGGAUGGAUAUAAAAGUAUAAAAUAACCUACUUUUUGGUUUGACAACAUCAUUAAUAUGUGUAUCACAAUUAAAGCACAAAGACAUAACAACAUUACACCCCAAGACCGUUCACAAGUUAGAGAAAAGAGAAGAAACAGUUUCCAGAAGAGAAGUUCAUCAGGCGAGUUGGAGCGUUUACUUUGUCGAGUCAUCCACUUUAGCGGAGAGUGUCAACCCAUUGAAAAGUGUUCAGCGUACAGUGUACCCCUCUUUGCAACAGAGGAAGCGUGAGAAGAGAGACGGUGAAAAGGCACUCAACAGAUGUUGGUGAGUUUUAAUUUCUGGAAAUGCAUUAAAGGUCACUCACAUUCUAGUUAGCCACAAAUGUAAACCUGAUUUUAGAUAGUAUUUAAACGAGAUUAAAAACUCCAGCUACUUGCAGGCUUACAGUCUGGUAUAUUUUACACUAAAUUGUGAUGCAACCUGAAUCAUAAUCACACCAUGUUCAUUUGUUAGUCAGAGGGGAACUGAUCCCUAAACUAAACAUACUUUCUCCCACUUUUUUUAAUUUUUUUUUUAAUUUUUGUUUUAAUUAAUUUUUUUUUUUCAUUCUGUCACCUGAUGGUGUUGUUUGUGUUCCUUGCCACUGUUGACUUUUGGCUUGCUUAUUUGUGAACACAUAAUAUUCAGCAAUAUUAUUUAUCUGACUCCAUCGACACUAUUGGAUGAGGACUGAACUGAGCUAGAUGAUGACACCACUGUUUUGCUAGAUGAGUCAA
ensembl:lncRNA